rnacentral:rRNA from 1 species
GUUAGGAAUAUUGGACAAUGGGCGCAAGCCUGAUCCAGCCAUGCCGCGUGAGUGAUGAAGGCCUUCGGGUUGUAAAGCUCUUUAGCCGAUGAUUAUAAUGACUGUAGUCGGAAAAUAAGCCCCGGCUAACUUCGUGCCAGCAGCCGCGGUAAUACGAAGGGGGCGAGCGUUAUUCGGAAUCACUGGGCGUAAAGCGUGCGUAGGCGGCUUUGCAAGUUGGGAGUGAAAGCCCAGGGCUCAACCCUGGAAUUGCUCUCAAAACUGCAAGGCUCGAAUUCGGGAGAGGAUAGCGGAAUUGUCAGUGUAGCAGUGAAAUGCGUAGAUAUUGACAGGAACACCAGUGGCGUAAGCGGCUAUCUGGACCGAUAUUGACGCUGAAGCACGAAAGCGUGGGGAUCAAACAGGAUUAGAUACCCGAGUAGUCC